GUAGGUGAACCUGCGGAAGGAUCAUUAACAAAUCAACAACUGGGGGGAUGCGUCGCAAGACGUGUUUUCCAGAACACAUUCUAACCUGUGAAUCGCCGGCAAUUGAGUGCGAGCAACCGCACUUACUGUCGGUUGUGCGAGAAAUCGCACAAACAAUAUCAUAAACGUCGUCUACACAAUGUCUGAAUACACACAAAACACAAAUACAACUUUUAGCAAUGGAUCUCUUGGCUUCGGCUCGAUGAAGAAC
rnacentral:misc_RNA from 1 species